UACAAUGAUGAGGGAAAUUCCAUUGAAACUCCUUGAACCUAUCCCAGGCGUCUCAGAAAUUUUCAUCCUCUUCUUGCUCAAAUCAAUAUAUCCUGCUAUGCA
rfam:Helianthus annuus linkage group 7, whole genome shotgun sequence.